GACGAACGCUGGCGGCGUGCUUAACACAUGCAAGUCGAGCGGAAAGGCCCUGCUUUUGUGGGGUGCUCGAGUGGCGAACGGGUGAGUAACACGUGAGUAACCUGCCCUUGACUUUGGGAUAACUUCAGGAAACUGGGGCUAAUACCGGAUAGGAGCUCCUGCUGCAUGGUGGGGGUUGGAAAGUUUCGGCGGUUGGGGAUGGACUCGCGGCUUAUCAGCUUGUUGGUGGGGUAGUGGCUUACCAAGGCGUUGACGGGUAGCCGGCCUGAGAGGGUGACCGGCCACAUUGGGACUGAGAUACGGCCCAGACUCCUACGGGAGGCAGCAGUGGGGAAUAUUGCACAAUGGGCGGAAGCCUGAUGCAGCAACGCCGCGUGCGGGAUGACGGCCUUCGGGUUGUAAACCGCUUUCGCCUGUGACGAAGCGUGAGUGACGGUAAUGGGUAAAGAAGCACCGGCUAACUACGUG
rnacentral:rRNA from 1 species